CGGUGGAGGUGGUGGUCCACACGGUGGAGGUGGUGGUCCCACGGUGGAGGUGGUGGUCCCACGGUGGAGGUGGUGGUCCACACGGUGGAGGUGGUGGUCCCAUGGUGGAGGUGGUGGUCCACACGGUGGAGGUGGUGGUCCCACGGUGGAGCUGGUGAUCCACACGGUGGAGGUGGUGGUCCCACGGUGGAGGUGGUGGUCCCACGGUGGAGGUGGUGGUCACACGGUGGUGUUUAAAACCUUCACGGACGCUUACUUUGUACAGCGGUGUCUCAGGAGUGCCGAGGGGUCCCUGAGCAGAGCACCUCUUUCUGACUGCUCCUGACCAGCUGGCUGUCGCCCUGCGUGGUCGACUCCGCCGAACGUGUGUGUGAAUGUGUGUGAGAGUGGUUGUAAGUUGCUUUGGAUAAAAGCGUCACCUAAUCUCCUAAAUAUAGAUUUAGGGGAUGAUUUUGUAUUUGCCUCCAUCGUAAGACGGUUGAAAUCUGAAUAAAGCAAAAUAAAGUGAACCCCAGAUUCUGAGCUUCUCGUCACACUUUAAAUACUCUGACUUGUGAUGCUACUACUGCAGAAGUUGGAUCAGUGUAGCAGGAGGAGUGAAGUGGUGGUGCCCACCUCCUCAUCCCCUCCUAACGGG
ensembl:lncRNA